rnacentral:tRNA from 1 species
GCCAUAGCCAAGCGGUUAAGGCACAGGACUUUGACUCCUGCAUUCGACGGUUCAAAUCCGGCUGG